GAAAGCCGUGUGAGGUGAAAGUCUCAUGCACGGUUUGGAAUGGGAGGAGAGGUAAGCGAUUACCUUUUCGACCCCUAAU
rfam:Crocosphaera watsonii WH 8501 ctg345, whole genome shotgun sequence.